CUUUGCCCCUGCGAGCCAGCCUGGGCCGAGACCCAGGGCGUGGGAUCCGAGGGCGCGGCUGUGAAAGGCCUUUGCAUCCACCCUUGAUGAGCAGAACUGAAGCCUCUGGGCAGUGGGCAGAGCUGCUUCCUUCUGCCUCUGGAUGCCAGCUUCACUGUGUAGGAGUUUAAUGAGCUCUUGUGAGGCCGAGGUAUCAGAUGUCUCUGGAACAGGAGAUUAUGGGGGUUCACGUUUGCAUGUGGCUGGUGCCCCUAGGUGACCUUGGAGGAGAAGCUCCUGUAAACUACCUUAAACCUGGAAAAAGCAAACCUGGAGGUUUUGUAUGUACGAGUCUUGCUGCUAGAGGUGGCAUCUCCCAACCCGUACUUCAUUGAAGAGAAGAAAAUUAUUUACAAUAUACCAUAUCAUCUUUCAACUUCUUCAUGAACCCGAGGAAAGAAAGUGGCCAAGGAGAACUUAAUCACCUAAUGAGUCAAAUUUGGACAGUAACAAUACCUGCUUCUGAUACAGUGAGAUGAUGUACCUUCCAGCCUACUGUGCAGUGUCUGACCCAAGAAAUAGUUGUGAAUGUUUUUAUUUGCAUAUAUUAAUUACA